CCUACGGGAGGCUGCAGUGGGGAAUAUUGCACAAUGGGGGAAACCCUGAUGCAGCGACGCCGCGUGAGUGAAGAAGUAAUUCGUUAUGUAAAGCUCUAUCAGCAGGGAAGAAAAUGACGGUACCUGAGUAAGAAGCCCCGGCUAACUACGUGCCAGCAGCCGCGGUAAUACGUAGGGGGCAAGCGUUAUCCGGAUUUACUGGGUGUAAAGGGAGCGUAGACGGUGUGGCAAGUCUGGAGUGAAAUGCGGGAGCUCAACUCCGGAACUGCUGUGGAAACUGUCGGGCUGGAGUGCGGGAGAGGUAAGUGGAAUUCGUGGGGUAGCGGUGAAAUGCGUAGAUAUUAGGAGGAACACCGGUGGCGAAGGCGGCUUACUGGACCGUAACUGACGUUGAGGCUCGAAAGCGUGGGGAGCAAACAGGAUUAGAUACCCGAGUAGUC
rnacentral:rRNA from 1 species